GGUUCUUUACUUGGCAAAUAGAACCUUUUACCAAAAAAAGGGUUCCAUAUAGAGCCCUUGGAGGGCAAAGAACCCAUUUUAUUAAAAUGGUUCUAUAAUUCACGUUUGUGACUGAAGUGUAAACUAAAGAUUACACAAUAAUUACAGACCUACACAACUCAUUUACAAACCUACACAACUCAUUCACAAACCUUUUUGUGUCAAUAGGCUGUGGUCAAAUAAAGAGAGAGUCAACAAAUAGGCUAUUCAUAUUUAUUGUAUGAUUUAUUUCCUGUGAGUUUUUCUAUGCAAGUUUGUACAUUAGCAUGAAACUUACAGUGCAGUUUGCGUUUUUGGUGAAUAACCAGGUGUUUUCUUUAUUUUGUACAUUCUAUAUUGUCAAUGUUUAAUUUAACCUGAAGGGGCAUUAAAUACAAAUAAUCGCAAAAGUGCCCUCUGGUGGCGUAUAUAUGCGUUGCACCAUAAGCGAAGAUGAGCCUCCAGACCUGACAGGUUUUUUUUCAAACUGAGGAGUUCGGACUCCGGACCGGCAUUUCUGCUUGUUGGUACCCUGAGGUAAGUAAACUUUCUACAUUUUUGAAACGAUAUUACACUCUAAAAGUUGGGUUAUUUUGUUUGGUUGUUUUAUCAGUGUUGGGUAGUUUUUGUGUAACCCAACUUGUUGGGUUAUAUGUUGGGUAAUUUUGAAGCAGAGCCAGCUUAAUAGAUACAUAGCUGUUUCUCAAUAUUACUUUCUCUAGUCCACAAAAUGUAUUUUAAACAUAAGUUCAGGCGAGAAUAUAUAUGUAUAAUGUUCAAAUUUGCAGUCGGUUUGUAAAGUGAACGCCAAUUUUAAAGUUUAAUUACACAAAGUCGGAAUGUUACCGGCGUGACCACCGGGUGUCAGUGUUGUUCUUCCCCAGAGAGAACUUCUCCCUUCCCCCACACAGACACGUCAGUGCCUCUCACUGCAACGAUACCUGAAGCGGGAGUUUACUAAUUCACCUCAGGAUUUUUCACGGUUUUUCAUCGACUUAUCUUUGAUUUAUUUGAAGGAAAAGACCCUGAUGGAUAAAAGAUGGAUAUUUUUUUCCUGGAGAAGCUAAAACAAUGUAACUUUGAGGUUCUGAUACCAGCUUUUACAAAGUUAUUUACAGAGUUCACCAGACUUCUCUGUGUUAUUUCCUGACCAUGCCGAAAAGCUAUUUGAAACUUGGGCAUUGCAUUUUCCAGACAGAAUCCUGCACUUCCCAGCCAAGAACCAGGAGCAUCAACAAAUCACCUCCAGAACCCCAUGAUGAUAUUCCAACUCCUGUCUACAAAAGUGGGAAGAAAAUCUUAAGUCUAUGUUGGGACCAACAUGGUUGCAUUCUUCUGAGAGGCUGAUGUGACAAAACCAUUACCAUUUGUCCUUGGAUUGGAAGAUGGCGAUCUCUGCCAUCAAGCCUUCUUUGUUUUUGACAGACAGUCACUCCAGCAAUACACCCUCCUUGGUGAUGUUGACAUGUUUUAAACUUUUUGUAUGUUUUGGACAUUAAUUUUACUAAGCAGUGCACAUCAGUGUGGGUGUUUUUGAAGACUGUUGUUUACAAACUCCCAAGAACGGAAUCCCUUUCUAUAAGAAGUCUGUGUAGUUAUUUGUCAUGCUAAGGUGAUAACUCAUGUUGAUCAUAUAUUGACUGUUUGUGCAACUUUGUGUUGAUCUUAUGUGUUACAUUAACCAUUUCUUAUUACACGGUUCUCUAAAAUGCUAGAUUCUGAUUGGCCAGUCGUGACAUUCUACUACUGCUCAAAACUAAAAACUCUAAUGCUGCAAAUCAUUUUGACAGGUACAGUUUUAUAUUACACAAAAAUUAAAUAUCAAUGUCUAUUAAUUACAUAUCCGACAUUAAAUUUUCAAAUGAUUAAAUGUGUUCGUGACAUUUGUCCUGAAGAAACUGUUGGGGCUUUUUUCUGUGAUGACAUGCUGCCAAUACAUUAUCCCUUACUUGUACAACUUUUUACUUGAUCUAAUUGUAAUGUUAACUGGGUAUCUGUCAUUUUAGAUUGUGAGA